AAAUUGAAGAGUUUGAUCAUGGCUCAGAUUGAACGCUGGCGGCAGGCCUAACACAUGCAAGUCGAACGGUAACAGGAAGAAGCUUGCUUCUUUGCUGACGAGUGGCGGACGGGUGAGUAAUGUCUGGGAAACUGCCUGAUGGAGAGGGAUAACUACUGGAAACGGUAGCUAAUACCGCAUAACGUCGCAAGACCAAAGAGGGGGACCUUCGGGCCUCUUGCCAUCGGAUGUGCCCAGAUGGGAUUAGCUAGUAGGUGGGGUAACGGCUCACCUAGGCGACGAUCCCUAGCUGGUCUGAGAGGAUGACCAGCCACACUGGAACUGAGACACGGUCCAGACUCCUACGGGAGGCAGCAGUGGGGAAUAUUGCACAAUGGGCGCAAGCCUGAUGCAGCCAUGCCGCGUGUAUGAAGAAGGCCUUCGGGUUGUAAAGUACUUUCAGCGGGGAGGAAGGGAGUAAAGUUAAUACCUUUGCUC
rnacentral:rRNA from 1 species